rnacentral:rRNA from 1 species
CCUACGGGGGCUGCAGUGAGGAAUAUUGGUCAAUGGACGAGAGUCUGAACCAGCCAAGUAGCGUGAAGGAUGACUGCCCUAUGGGUUGUAAACUUCUUUUAUAUGGGAAUAAAAUGUUCCACGUGUGGGAUUUUGUAUGUACCAUAUGAAUAAGGAUCGUCUAACUCCGUGCCAGCAGCCGCGGUAAUACGGAGGAUCCGAGCGGUAUCCGGCUUUAUUUGGUUUAACGGUAGCGUAGGUGGAUUGUUAAGUCAGUUGUGAAAGUUUGCGGAUCAACCGUAAAAUUGCAGUUGAAACUGGCAGUCUUGAGUACAGUAGAGGUGGGCGGAAGUCGUGGUGCAGCGGUGAAAUGCUUAGAUAUCACGAAGAACUCCGAGUGCGAAGGCAGCCCACUGGACUGCAACUGACACUGAGGCUCGAAAGUGUGGGUAUCAAACAGGAUUAGAGACCCGUGUAGUC